UUCCUAUUUUCACUUUCAUACCUUCUCGUUAUCCAUUGAUCUCUUCCCCCCUUUGGCGAACAUGCGUGGACAACAAUCUAUCAGCACCAAAUCCGUUGAAAAGCAUGAACCUUGAGACCAUUCAAACUCAUGCAUGACGUUAUCGUUGAAGCUUUAAGGCCGUGCUCCCUCGGUCAAAAUUGGGAAACAAGAGAAGAGUCUCGCUUCGUAAUGAUGGAGGAAUGACGAUAACGAGCUCAUCGUCCGUCUUCAUUGGACCGGGCCGGACCUGGCUUGCCUUGUGGAUCAAGCCGCACCUGCUAAAAAAGCCCUUCGUCGCUCCAGCUCCAAACUCAUCGUCAACGCCAAAGCAGGAUCCCUUGCUUUCUGCAAUCUCUUCCCCACUGAUCGAUCGAUCAUCUCUGACGCGACCCAGACCCCAAAUUCUCCAAUCGAAACACACCCAUCUCCGAUUCGGACCGAAUCGAAUCCCGCCGCCAUGUUCCCCGCCGCCGCCGCCCAUCCCGAUCGAAGCCUGACCUUCUCCUUCUUGUUCUUGUUCUUGCUGUUCCUGCUUCCCCCGCAUCUCCAGCUCGCGCACGCCGGGAAGCCCCACGCCAUCGCCUUCCGAUCCCCGGGCCUCUACCCGGAAGCCAUGGCCUGGGACCCGUCGGCCCAGCACUUCGUCGUCGGGUCCCUCCGGAGCCGCUCCCCUCCACACCGUCUCCGACGCCGGCGUCGUCGAGGACCUCAUCCGCGACGACUCCCUGCCCCCCAACUCCACCAUCCUCGGCGUCGCCGUCGACAGCCCCCGCAACCGCGUCCUCGCCGUCGUCCAGUCCAUCGCCCCGCUCCCCCUUCAACGCCCUCGCCGCCUACGACCUCCGCUCCCGCGGCCGCCUCUUCCUCUCCCCCUCCCCCUCCCCUCCGGCCGCGACGGCGCGAACGACGUGGCCGUCGACUUCGACGGCAACGCCUACGUCACCAACUCCUUCGCCGACCUCAUCUGGAAGGUCGGCCCCGACGGGGCCGCCUCGAUCUUCUCCAGAUCCCCGGCCUUCACCUCGUUCCCCGUCGACCGGGAGGCGCCGCACAGCUACUGCGGCCUCAACGGCAUCGCCUACGUCGGCAGGGGGUACCUCCUGGUGGUCCAGUCCAACACGGGGAAGAUGUACAAGGUGGACGCGGAGGACGGCACGGCGAGGGUCGUGCUGCUGGGCAGGGACCUGCCGCUGGCGGACGACGUGGUGGUCCGGCGGGACGGGGUGGUGCUGGUGGUCUCCAUGAACAAGCUGUGGUUCCUGAAGAGCGACGACGCGUGGGGGAGGGGGUGGUGUACGACGAGGCGGAGCUGGACGUGGAGAGGUUCCCGACGUCGGUGGCGGUGGGGGCGGAGGAGAGGGCGUACGUGCUGUACGGGCACGUGCUGGAGGGCCUGGGCGGGUCGGCGGAGGCGGCGGAGGCGGAGGCGGCGGCCGGGGGAAGGGAGUGGUUCGGGAUCGAGGAGGUGAGGUCGGAGAGGGAGGGCAAGGAUGAGAAGGUGUGGAUAUACGUGGUGUUGGGCCUGGGCCUGGCCUACUUCACGUUCUGGAGGUUCCAGAUGAAGAAGCUCGUCACCAACAUGAACAAAAAGACCAAUUAGCACUCCUUUCUCAUUUUCACUUUCUAGUUUUCUUUCUUUCUUUCCUUUUUUUUUUUUUUUUUUUUUUUUUUUCUUUUUUUUUUUUGAGGUUUUGGGUCUUUGUGAUUUGGUAAGCCUGGAUUGGCUGAUUGAAUAGGUUUUGGUUUUGUAAGCAGUGAUUGGUGAAUGCAAAAGCACGUUGGAUUUUGUUCAAGUUUCGAUCCUAUGCUAA